GAGAGGAUGAUCAGUCACACUGGAACUGAGACACGGUCCAGACUCCUACGGGAGGCAGCAGUGGGAAUAUUGCACAAUGGACGAAAGUCUGAUGCAGCAACGCCGCGUGGAGGAUGACACAUUUCGGUGCGUAAACUCCUUUUAUAUGAGAAGAUAAUGACGGUAUUAUAUGAAUAAGCACCGGCUAACUCCGUGCCAGCAGCCGCGGUAAUACGGGGGGUGCAAGCGUUACUCGGAAUCACUGGGCGUAAAGAGCAUGUAGGCGGAUUAAUAAGUUUGAUGUGAAAUCCUAUAGCUUAACUAUAGAACUGCUUUGAAAACUGUUAAUCUAGAAUGUGGGAGAGGUAGAUGGAAUUUCUGGUGUAGGGGUAAAAUCCGUAGAGAUCAGAAGGAAUACCGAUUGCGAAGGCGAUCUACUGGAACAUUAUUGACGCUGAGAUGCGAAAGCGUGGGGAGC
rnacentral:rRNA from 1 species